GAGUUUGAUCCUGGCUCAGAGCGAACGUUAGCGGCGCGCCUAACACAUGCAAGUCGCACGAGGUAGCAAUACCUAGUGGCGCACGGGUGCGUAACACGUAGAUAAUCUGCCCUAGAGUGGGGGGAUAACGUUCCGAAAGGAGCGCUAAUACCGCAUAAGACCGCGUCCGGUUAGCUGGAUGCGGGCAAAGCCUGGGACCGCAAGGCCAGGCGCUUUAGGAGGAGUCUGCGGCCCAUCAGCUAGUUGGUAAGGUAAUGGCUUACCAAGGCAAAGACGGGUAGCUGGUCUGAGAGGAUGAUCAGCCACACUGGUACUGGAACACGGACCAGACUCCUACGGGAGGCAGCAGUGGGGAAUCUUGGUCAAUGGGCGCAAGCCUGAACCAGCGACGCCGCGUGAGUGAUGAAGGCCUCGGUUG
rnacentral:rRNA from 1 species